rnacentral:rRNA from 1 species
AUUGAACGCUGGCGGCAUGCCUUACACAUGCAAGUCGAACGGCAGCACGGGAGCUUGCUCCUGGUGGCGAGUGGCGAACGGGUGAGUAAUGCAUCGGAACGUACCUUUCAGUGGGGGAUAACGUAGCGAAAGUUACGCUAAUACCGCAUAUUCUGUGAGCAGGAAAGCAGGGGAUCGCAAGACCUUGCGCUGAUUGAGCGGCCGAUGUCAGAUUAGCUAGUUGGUGAGGUAAAGGCUCACCAAGGCGACGAUCUGUAGCGGGUCUGAGAGGAUGAUCCGCCACACUGGAACUGAGACACGGUCCAGACUCCUACGGGAGGCAGCAGUGGGGAAUUUUGGACAAUGGGGGCAACCCUGAUCCAGCCAUGCCGCGUGAGUGAAGAAGGCCU